rnacentral:lncRNA from 1 species
GGCUUCAGAAGCUCUGCUAUCCACAGGCAGGUGAGAUAUUACCUUCCCUACCACCUGGCAGUCAUAGUCUAUGAUGCAACUCAGCUUUGUGGAAGUGCUUCUCUAAAGAACUUCCCCCAAUUUAAGAUGAUCUUAAUUUGCUUACUUGUUUACUGUCCAUUCAGCUGCUCUAAAAUGUGAGCUCCAAAUCAGGGACCAUGUCUGGUUGGUUACCCAUUUCCUGGGACCUAGAACGGGCCUAGCUCAGAGCAGGUGCUCACUAUUGAUGGAAUGCAUGUUGAAAGAAUGCAUGAAUCUCAUCUCCUUUUGUGGGUGAAAAUCUCAUCCUAUUCUCACUCCUGAUUAACUUUCUUUCUUUUUUUUUUUUCAAAACGGAGCCCUGAUCUGUCACCCAGGCUGGAGUGCAAUGGUGCCAUCUCAGCUCGCUGCAACCUCUGCCUUCUGGAUUAAAGCAAUUCUCCUGCCUCAGCCUCCCGGGUAGCUGGGAUUACAGGUAGAAGUUGCUGGUCCCAUCUUGCUCACAAUCCUCCAAAGUUUGAAAGUUAUUUUCCAGGAGACUUGGCUUGCACUGAGAGCUGCCCUCCCACCCUCUCUCCAAAUUUCCUCUUGGGGGUAGCCUAACAAGGUGCUGUCACAGACCCUUGUCGGCCACGAUGACCCCACCCAGACCAUCCCUCUGCUGUUUCACUCUUUGAUAGUCUCUGGAGCUCUCUGGGGAGGGGU